AGGGCCGAGAGAGGACCCUGAAGACCUGGGAUCUGGAUGGGCCGGCUCUCUUGGUUCCUGGACCCUGGAUGUUGGAGGUAGACCGAGCAGAGUUCUCCAGAGAACACCGCUGGACUGCGCUUUACCUUUCCCAGACCAUGUAACCUAUCUCUUCACUUGGUUGGCUGCUCAGCUAUGCAGGCCUUCUGUGCAACGCCAGAGGAAACAAUCAUUGAGACGGGAUUUUCCAGAUUUAUAAAGGUGCCAUCAGGACGAGGGAAAUAAAGCCACCUCACCACAAGCAGCUGACAGAGGCAAAACAUAAGUCAAGUGUGACCCUGAUUCACAGGAUGACAAGGGACAGUGUGGCCAUUCCACAGCACCUGCAUUUCUCAGCUGCAGCCCAGGAGAGGACAUUGGCUCAGCAAAUUUCAGUGUGACAAUUGCGAAACAAUAUAACACAUUUUAUAGAAGAUGGACAGACACAUACAAUGAAGAAUGCAAUAAAAAUGGUAUUUUACAAGGUUGUGUAAACUUAAAAGUUGUGCAUAA